UCCCGUUGUUCGAGGCCACGAAGACGGC
rnacentral:sRNA from 1 species